UGUGAGAGGGUUGAAAUGAUCAAUUGCAUGAUUAUUCUAUCUUCGUGACCAGUUUGUUAACUUGAGAACUUCCCUGCAAUGAAGAGGCAUGUGGUACAAGCUAGGCCUGAUAAGACUAGUGUGUUUGGAAUUCGACAAAUCGCAAGCAAUGUCGUGCAAAACAAACAUGUCGCAGGGAGUUUCAAAAUAUCUUUGAGGGUUCAAGGAGUUUAAUUUUUCGGAGUCUAUUUUGACGCCCC
rnacentral:sRNA from 1 species